GCGAGAGUGCUGGAAUUGGUAGACUGGCAUGCUUGAGGUGCAUGUGUCCUACGGACGUGUGGGUUCGAGUCCCAUCUCUCGCACCA
rnacentral:tRNA from 1 species